AUGGCUGGAAAGAGGAGUGGAGGCUGCACAGUGCAUGCACUCAGCAGGGUCACAUGUGAACAGAAUGCAGAGCAGAGGAGGCAGCAGCAGAGGACGCACUCCUAUCUCUCUCUCAAUUAUUGGGAGCUCUCACUCCCAGCCUCAGUCUCACACUCUCACUACUCGCGUCCUCAUCCUCCGUCGAUCCACCCACCGCCGGUGCCCCACGCUGCCGUCUCCAACUCCAACCUCGAUGCAGCGAAUAAAGGAAAGACGACGACGCCCAUGGCACAUGAAUUUUCAGUACCUGGGAGCUUGAGCAAGGACAAACCAGCUUAA
rnacentral:rRNA from 1 species